rnacentral:rRNA from 1 species
UACAGAGGGUGCAAGCGUUGUUCGGAAUUAUUGGGCGUAAAGCGCGUGUAGGCGGCUUUGCAAGUCGGGUGUGAAAGCCCUCAGCUCAACUGAGGAAGUGCGCCCGAAACUGCAGAGCUUGAGUACCGGAGAGGAUGGCGGAAUUCCCCAAGUAGAGGUGAAAUUCGUAGAUAUGGGGAGGAACACCGGUGGCGAAGGCGGCCAUCUGGACGGUCACUGACGCUGAGGAGCGAAAGCGUGGGGAGCGAUCCGG